CAAAAGACUUAGUCCUAACCUUACAGUUGGUUUUUGCUAGACAUAUACAUGCAAGUAUCCGCGCCCCAGUGUAAAUGCCCUCAACAGCCUGCCCUCAGGCCUUAAGGAGCGGGUAUCAGGCACACCCACGUAGUAGCCCAAGACGCCUUGC
rnacentral:rRNA from 1 species